GAAUUCGAUUCAGGCCUAACACAUGCAAGUCGAGGGGUAGAACACUUCGGUGUUUGAGACCGGCGCACGGGUGCGUAACGCGUAUGCAAUCUACCUUGUACAGGGGAAUAGCCCAGAGAAAUUUGGAUUAAUGCCCCAUAGUAUAUAACCUUCGCAUGUUGGUUAUAUUAAAGUUCCAACGGUACAAGAUGAGCAUGCGUCCCAUUAGUUAGUUGGUAAGGUAACGGCUUACCAAGACGAUGAUGGGUAGGGGUCCUGAGAGGGAGAUCCCCCACACUGGUACUGAGACACGGACCAGACUCCUACGGGAGGCAGCAGUGAGGAAUAUUGGUCAAUGGUCGCAAGACUGAAACAGGCCAUGCCGCGUGCAGGAAGACGGUCCUAUGGAUUUAAAGGGCUUUUAUACAGGAAGAAACCCUCCCACGUGUGGGAGC
rnacentral:rRNA from 1 species